CACUACCCAGACUCUGCAUUGACCUCCAUCCUCUUCGUGGGGCACCCUGUUGGGAUGUUUCACACCAUGAGCACUGUGUGCCCUGAUUCGCUUCUAAUGCUGUGGUCCCAAGAGUCCCUUGCCCACCUGGAGAGAAUCUGUCCCCUUCCUAUUCUGAUGACAAGCUUGGUAACUAUUUGAAGGCCAGAUUCUUCCCACUGCCAGCCUGGCUCUGAGAACAUCUCUGGUGCUUUGUGGUCUAGGCAGAGAGUGGGCACAGGCUCAUGAAUUCAGAUCCCUCUGAUAAAGGUGUCCACAUGUCCACGUGUCCCAUGCUGCCUUACUCUUCCUGAAUGGUUUCUUCCCUCUCUGCAGAUGAAGAUGCAACCCCAAGGCUUCUGAAAACCCCAGAUAGAUCCUAUGAGGGAUGCCAGGCAAGAGAGGUCAAAGAAAUCAUUUUUAAGACCAGAAUUGAGGCCGGGGUCCCACCCAUGGCCAUGUGAACUCCAGUGAUGAGUCCUCAGCAUCUCACUCACAUUAUCUGCGAGAUGAGGACAAUAACAGGACAUACCUCCUGAGGUUGUGGUUGCAUGUGCUGUACUGACGGUGUGAGACGGUAUCUGACUGGCUUUGGAUUUGGUGCUGAGGAUCUGUCCCUGUGCUCACUGGCCAUCUUUGGAGGUUGCCUUUCACUGGUUAAUCUUCCUUGACCAACGAAUGGGCUUUGAAAUGCCCUAGGAGGCAUACCUACCACUGGGUGUGGCUACCAGGGUGUUUCCAGAGACGCUUAACUGACUUUCUGUUUCCUGACCAUGGAUGCAGUGUGAGCAGCUGCGUCGUGUUCCCACAAUUAUGCCUUCCAACCACGGUGGGCCGAACCUCCUCCAUCUGUGAGCUGAGUAUUAGACCUUCAGUUCAGCCCUGUGUGAUGUCCACCAUGAGCACCCUGGGCCGUGGCGACUUCCUUCACUCAGGAAGAGGGAGGCUCAUCAGGUGCCUCUGAGUUCUAGGACCUGCCCUUGAGACGGUGAGCAAACUAAGGAGCCUGUCUUCUGGAGGUCCCUUAGAGGACGGAGAAACAAGACUGGAAAGAAAGUGUAAGGAAAACAGCAACCAUGGAGACUAUGAGAGAGGAGAAC